rnacentral:ncRNA from 1 species
CCCCCCAGGCCUCUCGACGAUGCUCAAUACCGGGGGC